CGUGCCCGCAGCGCAUUAGAGGCUGGUGUACUGUACAGUCUUUUAGCUCGUGGAACAGGACAUCUGAAUUGCUGUUUCUUUCAUAAAUCACUGGAUUGGGGUUUGUUUGUUGUUGUUUUAGUCUUUUGAACUAUCGCAAGAUAUCAAAAGUAACAGGGUCAGAUCAACGGAGUCCAACAUCUUCGUGGCAUAACAGAAGCGGUUCUGGAACGGGAAAGAACGCUUAAGUCGUUUUAUGGAGGCUUGUGGGACGCAACGAAACAUUUCUUAAAGUGUUGGCACUGAGGAUAUCAGUCCAGAUCCACCUUUAAUUCGGAACAUAGUCUUGUUUGGAUUUCAGCCUGUUUGAAAUGUGGCGUUAUGUGCUCGAGAUAAAUGUGCUAUGUGUGUGAUUUGGAGAGGAUCUUGUGGAAGGUGUCCAGUGGGUAAGAGACUGGGUGGACUCUAUCUGCAACUGAUCCCCGUUUUCUGAGCGCAAUGGACUUGGAAUGAAGACAAAACAUGGAUAUAAUCUGGGAAAUAUUUAUUAUCCUUCAAGCCAAUCUCAUCGUUUGCACUUCAGCUCCUCGUGAGAGGUUUGUGGAACGCGUCCAGCAGCACGCCCACGCGAGAACUGGACAUUGAUGGCAACCCAGCGCGCAACACAUCCGUCUUUCUCAUGAUGCGUGGGACAGGCAACGUAAACGUCCUUGACCAGUGUUUAUGGCCUCUGAGAGCUUCCCUUUUUAGUAGCUUCAUGUAAAUGCUCACCAUCAUCCACGAGGUUUCUAAUAUGGCAAGCCAGAUUGUUAGGUUGAUUUGGAAUAAUAAUUUUUACUUGUGGAUCACACCUUUUCGAAAGUGACAUUACAGGUGAGCACAUUUAGUAUGUGUGAGUGGUUUGUUUUUACUUUAUUAGACAUUAAUUUGCAUGCAUGUAUAUGUGCAUUUAUUUAUGUUUAUUUUUUUGUAUUUCUAAUGUUAUCAUGACAUCAGUUGUAAUGAGCAUGAUGAUUAUGGUUUAGCAGGGCCCUUAAGUCUGAUGAGAUUACUGCCAUUUUUGUCUCCUCUUCCACUUAUAGUUAAUGUGAAUUGUUGUUCACAACUCCUUUUACUUCUAGAAUGUGUAAUUCAGAAAGACAGGACUUAAAUGUUAUCCACUGGCAAUAGAUUGGAUUGUGAAAAGUGGGCAUUACAUAUCAAAGCAGAGCAAAAAGGAAUGUCGGUUUGCUUUUUGGUAUUCGGUUAACGCUACCCAGUAGCACACAGCCCAAGUGACGUCAAUGGAUAAGGAUCUUUCAGAGGAACUAGUUUUUAAAAAUGUGAUUAAUGAUUAUGAUGGCAGCCUUUUUAACGUCAGAAUAACAUGCAAAAUGAAUAAGAUAAUUAAAAAUGAAUGUGC
rnacentral:lncRNA from 1 species